AGGAUGAACGCUGGCGGCGUGCUUAACACAUGCAAGUCGAACGAAGCAAUCGAUCAAAGCUCGGCAGCGAAGAGAAUUGACUAGUGGCGGACGGGUGAGUAACGCGUGGGUAACCUGCCUCAAGCUGGGGGAUAACAGUUAGAAAUCGACUGCUAAUACCGCAUAAGACCCCGGUACCGCAUGGUACAGAGGUAAAAGAUUUAUCGGCCUGAGAUGGACCCGCGUCUGAUUAGCUAGUUGGGGGUGUAAUGGACCACCAAGGCGAUGAUCAGUAGCUGGUUUGAGAGGAUGAUCAGCCACAAUGGGACUGAGACACGGCCCAUACUCCUACGGGAGGCAGCAGUAGGGAAUUUUGCGCAAUGGGGGAAACCCUGACGCAGCAACGCCGCGUGACCGAUGAAGCCCUUCGGGGUGUAAAGGUCUGUCAGUGGGGACGAAAUUUGACGGUACCCACAGAGGAAGCACCGGCUAACUCCGUGCCAGCCGCGGC
rnacentral:rRNA from 1 species